ensembl:lncRNA
AUUUUAUUAUUAUUAGUUAAUAAUAAUAAUAAUGUUAUUAUCAUUAAUAAUAAUAAUAAUAAUAAUAAUAAUUAUUAUUAUUAUUAUUAACAAAUUAACAAGUUAACAUUAAAAACUAUAUAUAUAUAUAUAUAUAUAUAUAUAUAUAUAUAUAUAUAUAUAUAUAUAUAUAUAUAUAUAUAUAUAUAUAUAUAUAUAAUCUACAGAUAAGAGUAAGAACUGAGGGAAUUUUCAUUUUUGGGUGACCUAUCCCUUUAAGAAAAGGAUUUGAGGAUUUGAUUGCCUUUGUUUGACUAAAAACACUUUUUUCUUUCUUAACACCGUACAUACAGUAAAUGCUUCUCAUGAUGCAUACUGAUGGUUUGCACAACACGUGAACUCCUUGUUACUUUAUCCCCACCAGGAUUAGUCAGAGAGAGAGAGGUUCUCACCUGUAUGUGGCUUCUAACUUCUCCUCAUGUCAGUCCCAUCUCUUUAAUCAGUGGUUUGGAAUCCUGUGACCUCUGACCUCUCGGCUGUCUCACAGCACCUGUGCCACAGGCAGACGUGUCACCUCCCUGUCAUGUAAGCUCCACUCCGCUCUUUACAGUGACUGUGGUGUCUGGGUGUCUGGCCCCACAGAGCCCCUGAUUGCUCCCCCAGGAAGGUGUUAGAGAGGUGGGCGAAGCCACCUGCCACUGCCCUACAGCGAUGGAGCGAGCGGAGGGCCUGGGGCUCAGCAUGACUGCUGGAAAUACAACACAUUGUGCUGCCAAAGACCAUUCCAAUAGGGGGGAGAGAGAAAGAGAAAACCAGAAGAAAUGACUGCACCAUUGCAACGAGUGACAACGUUGGCUCCUUCGAAGUGAAAAACUGUGCCUAUGGAGACAGCAAAGUCACUCAGGACCAAUUUUCCUUCUGCUAAACCAGGUGCUGUUUCUGGGCAGCAACCACUCCAAAGGGAGAGAAAGGUGACAAUGGAAAAAGGGCCGACAUGCUUUAUGAGGUAUUUCUGUGGAAAUAGCCAGCCUGUCAGCCGCUACAAGAAAGCAUAAACAACCUGUUGUACUUUUUAACUGUUGUAUCCUUUAAAAAGACCCAGGGGGAAUUUUAAAAUACUGCCGCCGAGCUAAAUUACUUGCAGCCCUUUGGGGACCCUUUGUGAGAACCAUAUACAUUUAUUUUGUGUAAAGUAUGCAACAGAAUACACCGUUAAAAGGGAUUUUAGGAUAGAGAUGGGACAAUAUAAUCUGUACAGGCGUCGAUUAAGUGCAGAUGAGUGUCAGCUAUGUUAUAG